AGUAAAAUGAAACCCGCUUUCCGUUGUCACGACCUAACAUGAAAACGGCUUGACCAAUUUUGCUGAAAAUUAGAGGGGAGGUAACUUAGACCCGGGAGAAGGUUAGUCACCAUCCGGCUACGGGACGCGGGUGAAACAGCGGGAAAGCUAGUGUACAAUAAUGAUGUACCCGCCUAAUUUGUUAUCUUUAUCUUUAGAGCACUGACCGUGUCUAAGGGCGCCCACACACAACUGCGACGCAGUGCUACUUUGUUCGGCAACCCGUUUGGCAUGGUAACCAUACUUUCAACUAUAUUCAGCCGUAAUGGACGUGUUUUUAGGAUUCGUAAGAUUUAUCUUGCUCGCUUUUCGUUGAACAUGCUGGGCGCAUCCAUUUAUUACCACUAUGGACUCUGAUAGGAACUAUUUUACUCGAAAGUAGGUACAAUGGGUUGAGAGCAACCCAGAUUUUUUUUUUUUUAAUUAUGUAGGUUGAGCAUAUCUUCAUUUGAAGAGCUUUUGAGUUUAUUAUCAACAAGACCCAUGCCCACAAAAUGAUACACUCGAAAGUAUGAUUACCCUACUAAACGGUUUGCCGGACCAAAUCGCAUCGCAGAAAUUUGAAUGGGGCCGAUACAAAAAUGCGAUGCGAUGCGACGUCGCAUAGCAGUUUUGUGUGGGCUCCCUUAAGCUAUUCUUUUGUUUGAUUAAAAAAUUUCAUAUAACACAUACAUACCUAUAUAAGAUAGGUAGUUAUGUACCUACUUAUCUCACUCUCCGAAACUAUUAAAAGAUUUGAUUUUUUUUACAAAUUUACACUACCUUAUAGUAUUCGUGCAAUUGUUGACAUAAUUUUUAUUUGCUGGAUAAUAAAUCAUCAGCUGGUAAGUCAUUUUUAAUAAUGUUAUAAUUAGCAGACAUUCAGCUUAGUUUCAUACUGUUUAGAAUAAAGUGUUAUUCUAAACAGUUUUAUUUUUCUGUAUAUAUAAAAAUGAAACCCGCUUUCCAUUGUCACGACAUAAUAUGAAAACGGCUUGACCGAUUUUGCUGAAAAUAACAGGGGAGGUAACUUAGACCCGGGAGAAAGUUUUAGAAUAGUUUUUGUCACCAUCCGGCUACGGGACGCGGGUGAAACGGCGGGACAGCUAGUGUUUAUUGUUAUCUUUAUCUUUAGCACACUGACCGUGUCUAAGGGCGCCCACACAAAACUGCGACGUAGUGCUAUUUUGUUCGGCAACCCGUUUGGUAGGGUAACCAUACUUUCAACUAUAUUCAGCCGUAAUGGACGUGUUUUUAGGAUUCGUAAGAUUUAUCUUGCUCGCUUUUCGUUGAACAUGCUGGGCGCAUCCAUUUAUUACCACUAUGAACUCUGAUGAGAACUAUUUUACACAAAACUGCAAUGCAAUGCUAUUUUGUUCGGCAGCCCGUUUGGUAGGGUAACCGUACUUUCAACUAUAUUUAGCCGUAAUGGACGUGUUUUUAGGAUUCGUAAGAUUUAUCUUGCUCGCUUUUCGUUGAACAUGCUGGGCGCAUCCAUUUAUUACCACUAUGAACUCUGAUGAGAACUAUUUU